rnacentral:rRNA from 1 species
AUACGGAGGGUGCAAGCGUUAUUCGGAAUCACUGGGCGUAAAGGACGCGUAGGCGGGUUGGCAAGUCAGAUGAGAAAUCCUACAGCUUAACUGUAGAACUGCAUUUGAAACUGCUAACCUAGAGUAUGGGAGGGGGAGAUGGAAUUAGUGGUGUAGGGGUAAAAUCCGUAGAUAUCACUAGGAAUACCGAAAGCGAAGGCGAUCUCCUGGAACAUAACUGACGCUAAGGCGUGAAAGCGUGGGGAGCAAACAGGAUUAGAAACCCCUGUAGUCC